CAUAGGGUAAUAGUAUUAAUCCAAAUGUUAGAAAUGAUUAAAAGGGUUGAUCUAAGAGCCAAAAAGUCAAAAGCACCAGAUCCUCUGUGCUUCCGAUAGUAUAGUAGUUCUAAUAUAUAUAUAUAUAUAGGCUGGGGCUACUAUACUCAUAUGAGUAUAGAGCCCUUUGUACUCAUAAGUUUUUAACCGUUCAGAUGAAAAAAUAUGCGGUUAGGAUGAAGUGGUUACAGUUAAGUUGAUAGUGGCCCCCCUAGGGUUGAGUGGCUGGUCAGUUGACUAGUAUAAUCUAACGGGUGAAAAUGAUUAAAGGGUAGAUCUAACGGCCAAAAACUUAUGAGUACAAUAGGCUCUAUACUCAUAAAAGUAUAGUAGCCGGACUAUGUAUAUAUAUAUGCUAAUGCUACUAUCCUAUUAAUAGGAUAGGAGCACUUGUCCUAUCAAGUUGUUCUUGAUGAUCGAGAUUCCGAAUCGAUGAUCGGAGCCGUUGAAGUUGAUCUAGAGUAUUUGAAAUAUCUAGAAAUUAAAUUUCAUAAAUUUUGAUAAUGGUUUACAUGGUGAUCAAAGUGUCGUAAAAUCGACAAUUUUUGAUGGCCUAUAUGAGCCGUUUGCUUGUUUAACGGUGUAGAGCAAUCCAAAUUGCUUGAAUUUGGCAUAGAAAAUUUUUUAUACUAUUUAGAUAAUGUUUGAUAACUCUGAUUACGAACUGAGAAAGUCUAACCUCUAUUUUAAGAAGGUUAUUCAUUUAUGACCGUUCAUUUUUCAACUC
rnacentral:lncRNA from 1 species